GUAAUCGUGGCCAAGUGGUUAAGGUGAUGGACUAGAAAUCUACUGGGGAUUCCCUACACAGGUUCAAAUCCUGUUGAUUACA